AACGUAGGUGGCGAGCGUUAUCCGGAUUUACUGGGCGUAAAGCGCGUGUAGGCGGCCAGGUAAGUCCGUUCUGAAAGCCCGGGGCUCAACCCCGGGAGGCGGAUGGAUACUGCUUGGCUCGAGUCCGGAAGAGGUGAGUGGAAUUCCCGGUGUAGCGGUGAAAUGCGCAGAUAUCAGGAGGAACACCGGUGGCGAAGGCGGUUCUCUGGGCAUUACCUGACGCUGAGGAGCGAAAGCGUGGGGAGCGAACAGG
rnacentral:rRNA from 1 species